CACACACACACACACACACACACACACACACACACACACACACACACACACACACACACACUACCCCCCCCCCCCCCCCAUACACAAUGAAACACAUCAACCCCCUCCCCUCCUACAGACAGUGAAACAUGCAUUGACUCCCUUCUUCCCCCCACAGAGUGAAACGCAUUGACCCUCUCCCCUCCACACACACAGGGUGUGGAGGGGAGACGGUCAUUGACCGCCUCCCCUGAUAAGCACAGUGAAACUCAUUGACACAUGUAGUAAUAUGUGUUGAACACCCCCCUCCACACACACACACACACACACACACACACACACACACACACACACACACACACACACACACACACACACACACACACACACAAACAUAAUACAUUUUUGUGUGGCCCCUCCCUUGCAUGUGUACACAAACAUUUACAGGUAUGUAUGUCAUACAUAAAUGCAUAAAGAUAUGCUUAUUUCUAAAUUUAAAUAUGUACACACUCACUCCAAUACCCCAGUACACACACUUCACUACUCACAUUUAUUUACACUCAGAGUAGUGUGACAACUAUUGAUUUGUCAUUAACAGAUAAUGCAGAUGAUUUCCACUAUUGUGAAAUGUCAGACAUUUGAUAAUAAUUGCAGCAAUAUUUGCUUAUUUGUUUAUUCCAACAGUUGCUUAGUGCUGUCUUAUCAGUGUUUCUCAGAUAAAGUUCGCCAAUUGAAGGCUGUCAUACUACAUACUGGUGAGAAAGUAUUAAAAGUUUUGAUUUUGAAUCUGGUGCAGACAGGUUGGUUCUUAAGCGAGGCUGAGAAAUGAUUAAGGAAGACAAUAACCCUAACUUCGUAUGGCAAUGUUCGUUCUCUCUUUAGGAAAUUUGAGCCAGAGGAAUGUAUGUAGGGGAUGUACAGGUUUGAGCAAUAGGAAUUUGUACAGGGGAUUUGCACUUUCUAGAAUUAUUUAGGUUGAUAGGCUGAUAGGUUAUUUAGGUCGUCACUUCAGUUGUUCUAAAGAGUAUUGUGGAAAGAUAUAUUUAUGGGAUCUCAUUAUGAAUUAAGGAAUGAUAUUGUAAAAAUGUUAAGUUUUUGGAAUUUUAUUAGUAAUGAUUUUUUUAUGUACAGUUGUAAAGAUAGAAACCUUGGAAACAGUUAGUAGUUUUUCUUGUGAGUAUGAUAUGGGGGAGGGGAACCUGUGACUCAUAAAACUGUGAUAUAAAGAGCUUUCAGUUUGUGUAAUAUUUGUGUAGAUAUAUUGGUGCACCUUCAUAUUUCAUUUUUAUUUCUUUUUUCUUUUUUUUCAAUUCCCCUCAAAUUUGAAGGUUGUAUAAGGUCCAGAGUUCUAUAUCCUUUUUUUAAAAAUCUUUUGAUAAUGCCCCUCCAAUGCUACAGGAUGCAUGAGGUUAUUAUCAAUUUGUGAUGUAAAAGCCUGCCUUCCUUUUUUCUCUUCUUUUUUGAGAGGGAUCAUUUAACAUUUGAUGCUUGUUAUUUUAUAUUCCUGUGUAUCUGUUUUCUGUGCAGUUUUAACCUCAGUGCAGUCCAUCAUAUAAGUAUUCACUUCUGUUUUGUUAACUUUACAUCUGAUUCAAUUCAGAAUACAAUUCUUUUUCUUUUUUUAUUUAGAAAAAUUACUGUUUUUGUGAGUAUCACAUGAUUUCCUUCAUCAGAUAUUGUCAUGCUUCACAUAAUAUCAUAUGCAGUUUGGUUCGGGGAGUAAGACAAAAAAAAAAUUGGGGGGAAAUUAGAUAGUCAGUGGAUAGCAGUGAGAAAUAUGCUGGUAUCCAAGAAAAGUAAUGGGCACUUGACUUUGUUAAUUUAAAAGAUUUUAUCUUGUGCAUAUGAUUUUAGGAAUAGUGAGCCCUUUUAGUACAGACGACUCUUGAAGGUGCUUGGUUUUCAGAGUAUUAAACACUCAGUUUUAAUAUGGAACUUGCUGAAUGGAUGAGCUGUAUAGCUCUGCCAUUUUGUAAUUUCAGAUCAUAAGCAGAAGUGUUGUACUCUUAAAAACAAAAUCACCGUAUAUGUCGUCAACUUGCAUCUUAGAAUUGUAGCAAGGAGUGUGAUACACAACAGAAAGGCAGAGUGAUGUGUCAUACCUGAGAUGCAAUCCUCUUGUGCAUAUUUGGAAAAAAGAAAAAGAAAUUGAAUGUGUGCAUGCAUGUGCUUGCAUACAAAUCAAAAGUUAUAUUUCAUAGCUAAUACUUAAUUCUGUAGUUAUAUAUAUAUAUAUAGUUAUAUAUAUGGGAAUCAGCCUUUUUCGUGCUUUGGUUUGUAAGUGCCCAAGUACAUGCAUUUACAGAAAAAAAAAAAAAAAAAGUUUUGUCUAGUUCAUCUCGCCAUAAGUGUUUUGAAUUUGAGAACUGGAAGUGGUUGUAUUGAAUUUCAUGAAUAUUUCAUAACUAAUAGCUUAAAAGACUGUGAUAAGCAAGAAGGCCUGGCAGAUGAAUUUUCUACAGUUAUAUUAUUACCUGUAAAUAUGGAUUGGAAGCUUAUGGAAUUUACAAUCCAAAUUGAUUAUUUUCUUUGCUAAGAAUAAAUAUAUGGCCUACUUC
rnacentral:lncRNA from 1 species